ACCUCCUCCAUCAGCUUCCACUGCCUCUUUCUCCUCCUCAUUUUCCUCUCCUCCUCCUCCUCAGCGUUCCUCCCCUCCUCUCUCUGUGCUGGUGUCUGUUCCCUCUAUAUUCGGGCUGCUGCUGGUUGUACUGGUGAGACGAUGUGUCCCAAGGAAACCUGAAGCUGCAGUGCAGAGAACAGCUGACAUCAUUUAUGGAGACAUCACCAUCAGGACAAACAGCAGACACAGAGAUCUUCCACCAGAGCCAGCGGUCAUCUACUCCUCACUGAAGCUGAACCACACACCUUCACCACAGUGUAACCAGUCUGACCAGUGACGUCCAGCUGGCUUCCAAACACAUCCCUGCACUCCUCUCCAGAGAUGGGCAGUAACGCGUUACUGUAAUCCGAUUACUUUUUUCAAGUAACGAGUAAAGUAAGGGAUUACAAUUGCAAAAACGGUAAUUAGAUUACCGUUAC